rnacentral:rRNA from 1 species
UACGUAGGUGGCAAGCGUUGUCCGGAUUUACUGGGCGUAAAGAGCGCGCAGGCGGUCGUUCAAGUCGCGUGUGAAAGCCCCCCGGCUCAACUGGGGAGGGUCACGCGAUACUGAUCGACUCGAAGGCAGGAGAGGGUAGUGGAAUUCCCGGUGUAGUGGUGAAAUGCGUAGAUAUCUGGAGGAACACCGGUGGCGAAGGCGGCAUCCUGGACCGGUAUUGACGCUGAGGCGCGAAAGCCAGGGGAGCAAACGGG